rnacentral:rRNA from 1 species
GUAGCGUACCUACCAGCCUACGACGGGUACGGGUUGUGAGAGCAAGAGCCCGGAGAUGGAUUCUGAGACACGAAUCCAGGCCCUACGGGGUGCAGCAGGCGCGAAAACUUUACAAUGCCGGCAACGGCGAUAAGGGAACCUCGAGUGCCAGGUUACAAAUCUGGCUGUCGUGAUGCCUAAAAAGCAUUGCAUAGCAAGGGCCGGGCAAGACCGGUGCCGGCCGCCGCGGUAACACCGGCGGCUCGAGUGGUAACCGUUAUUAUUGGGUCUAAAGGGUCUGUAGCCGGCCGGGUAAGUCUCUUGGGAAAUCUGGCAGCUUAACUGUCAGGCUUUCAGGAGAUACUGCCUGGCUCGAGGCCGGGAGAGGUGAGAGGUACUUCAGGGGUAGGGGUGAAAUCUUGUAAUCCUUGAAGGACCACCAGUGGCGAAGGCGUCUCACCAGAACGGACCUGACGGCAAGGGACGAAAGCUAGGGGCACGAACCGGAUUAGAUACCCGGGUAGUCCUAGCCGUAAACGAUACUCGCUAGGUGUCGGCCACGGUGCGACCGUGGUCGGUGCCGUAGGGAAGCCGUGAAGCGAGCCACCUGGGAAGUACGGCCGCAAGGCUGAAACUUAAAGGAAUUGUCGGGGGAGCACCACAACGGGUGGAGCUUGCGGUUUAAUUGGAUUCAACGCCGGAAAUCUUACCGGGACCGACAGCAAUAUGAAGGCCAGGCUGAAGACUUUGCCGGAUUAGCUGAGAGGUGGUGCAUGGCCGUCGUCAGUUCGUACUGUGAAGCAUCCUGUUAAGUCAGGCAACGAGCGAGACCCACGCCCACAGUUGCCAGCGUACUCUCCGGAGUGACGGGUACACUGUGGGGACCGCCGCUGCUAAAGCGGAGGAAGGAAUGGGCAACGGUAGGUCAGUAUGCCCCGAAUAUCCUGGGCUACACGCGAGCUACAAUGGUUGGUACAAUGGGUAUCUACCCCGAAAGGGGAUGGAAAUCUCCUAAAGCCAAUCUUAGUUCGGAUUGAGGGCUGCAACUCGCCCUCAUGAAGCUGGAAUCCGUAGUAAUCGCGUUUCAACAGAACGCGGUGAAUACGUCCCUGCUCCUUGCACACACCGCCCGUCAAACCACCCGAGUAGGGUCUGAAUGAGAGCGCUUCCUUCGGAGGUGUUCGAAUUUGGGCUUUGCAAGGGGGGUUAAGUCGUAACAAGGUA